rnacentral:rRNA from 1 species
AAGGGGUGGGCAAGUUCUGGUGUCAGCCGCCGCGGUAAAACCAGCACCUCGAGUGGUCAGGAGGUUUAUUGGGCCUAAAGCAUCCGUAGCCGGUUGCAUAAGUUUUCGGUUAAAUCUAUGCGCUUAACGUAUAGGCCGCCGAAAAUACUGUGCAGCUAGGGAGUGGGAGAGGUACACGGUACUCGAUAGGAAGGGGUAAAAUCCUUUGAUCUAUUGAUGACCACCUGUGGCGAAGGCGGUGUACCAGAACACGUUCGACGGUGAGGGAUGAAAGCUGGGGGAGCAAACCGGAUUAGAUACCCGGGUAGUCCCAGCUGUAAACGAUGCAGACUCGGUGAUGCAUUGGCUUGUGGCCAAUGCAGUGCCGCAGGGAAGCCGUUAAGUCUGCCGCCUGGGAAGUACGUACGCAAGUAUGNAACUUANNNNAAUUGNNNNGGGAGCACCACAAGGGGUNNAGCCUGCGGUUCAAUUGGAGUCAACGCCAGAAAUCUUA